rnacentral:misc_RNA from 1 species
GAUGAAGAACGUAGCGAAAUGCGAUAAGUAAUGUGAAUUGCAGAAUUCAGUGAAUCAUCGAAUCUUUGAACGCACAUUGCGCCCAAUAGCAUUCUAGUGGGCAUGCCUGUUCGAGCGUCAUUUCAACCCUUAAGCCCUGUUGCUUAGCGUUGGGAGCCUACAGUACUGUAGCUCCCCAAAGUUAGUGGCGGAGUCGGUUUCACACUCUAGACGUAGUAAUUUUUUCUCGUCUGUAGUUGAGCCGGUCCCCUGCCGUAAAACACCCAAUUUAUCAAGGUUGACCUCGGAUCAGGUAGGAAUACCCGCUGAACUUAAGCAUAUCAAUAAGCGGAGGA